UGUGCUGUAGGUGUAGCAAAUUGGACAAGCUACACCGCUAAUGCCGGGUGUAUGGAACUCAGGAAGGCUAUCUGCAACAAGCUUCAGGAGGAUAAUGGUCUAACCUAUAGCCCAGAUCAUGUGCUAGCGACCAAUGGGGCUAAGCAAUGCACUACACACGCUGUUCUUGAUGUUCUCUCAUGUGGUGAUGAGCGCCAUGGAUUAGUCCCUGCUAUAGGAGAGAGAGAAGAUGAGUGGGAGAGAGAGAAGGAAGGAGAGGAGGGAGAAAGAGAGAGGAAAGAGUAGCUGGAGGUGCGUCGACCGGCGUCGGCAUGUGCUGGCAAGGUUGGG